GGCGGUUGUAUAAGUUGGAUGUGAAAUCCCCGGGCUUAACCUGGGCACUGCAUUCAAAACUGUACGGCUAGAGUGUAGGAGAGGAAGGUAGAAUUCCAGGUGUAGCGGUGAAAUGCGUAGAGAUCUGGAGGAAUACCGAUGGCGAAGGCAGCCUUCUGGCCUAACACUGACGCUGAGGUGCGAAAGCAUGGGGAGCAAACAGGAUUAGAUACCCUGGUAGUCCAUGCCGUAAACGAUGUCUACUAGCCGUUGGGGGACUUGAUCCUUUAGUGGCGCAGCUAACGCAUUAAGUAGACCGCCUGGGGAGUACGGUCGCAAGACUAAAACUCAAAUGAAUUGACGGGGGCCCGCACAAGCGGUGGAGCAUGUGGUUUAAUUCGAUGCAACGCGAAGAACCUUACCUGGCCUUGACAUGUCUGGAAUCCUGUAGAGAUACGGGA
rnacentral:rRNA from 1 species